CAGACCAGUGGGGAUUAUCCCGAUCCCCGCUGGGGAAACUUCCCUCACGCAUGCCACAUGGUCCCCCACUGAAAUGCCAACCAUGUGGCGAACCAAACUUGGCCGCCGCUCCUCACCCUCAGCUGCCUCAGGACUAUACAGUCAUCCAGAAAUGGAGGGAGCAUUUGAUGCUCUCUGCCACAAGUUUUGGAGGCGCAUUUUCCACCGACAGUACACCCCUGCCGUGCCGGUUAGGCUGAAGACUGCAACGCACACCCGGCCUGGCCCUAGACCGGGGUCCCACCUGAAGAAAUCUCCAAGCAGCCAAACGGGCAUCUGGAGGACUCCCGGCUGGCAGAGCGCCAUUGGACCCGCUCUCAAACAGCACGGGGGCGGAGAAUCAAAGACCGCAUGGCUGCAGAUCAACCUGCAAAUCAAGCGCUGCGAGGUGAAGACCCCUUGCACAGACAACCCCACACGGCACUACGGCAUGUAACCUGGCUGGGGCAGUGGAACAACGCUGACCCGACAAAAUAUCCAGGCAGCUUCCCACUAUUAGGGAUCGGAUGAAAGGGGACUCAUGCAAGAUGAAGGCCAACAAAUCUCCUAUGCUUACAAGCUGCAAGCGUGUACUCAUAAUUUUAUUUUGCUUUUGGCCUGUUGCCUUAUAUUCUAUUAUUUAAAAUGCCCUCACAUCGAGAUAUAUAUGCUAUUUAUAGUAAUAAUGUUACUGCUGUGAAAUGCAGGGAUCCAUCUUUGCAUAUUAUACCAUGUUAACUGUACCCAAUUGCUGUAUAGCACUUCUGGUAUCUCAUGUUAAAUUUACCUCACGUAGUAAUACCUAGCUCUAUAAUUCUCUCUGUAACAUUUACACUCACUUUAUACCAAGCUAAUAGAGAUGCGUUUUAGACCUUGAUUUUCUCUUACGGUGUUUAAGGGCAGAGCUCAUUGUGUUUUAUAGUAAACCUCCCAUACAUGUCUGGAGGGCCUUGUUAUCCUAUAGGCUAACUCUCUGAUCUCUCUGCAACCUGUGUGCCUAACCUGAACACCUACGUUUUGAUUUAGCCACCCACCACGGCUCCAUAACCUUUUUAGCCUACUGAUAACUGUGUAAAACACCCGCCUUAUAUUUGCAUAAGCCUGAUAUUUCUUUCUUAUUACUUAAAAAAAGAAUCGUGCAGUUUUCGUGAUACCAUGC